rnacentral:rRNA from 1 species
AGUGAACGCUGGCGGUAGGCCUAACACAUGCAAGUCGAACGGCAGCACAGUAAGAGCUUGCUCUUACGGGUGGCGAGUGGCGGACGGGUGAGGAAUACAUCGGAAUCUACUUUUUCGUGGGGGAUAACGUAGGGAAACUUACGCUAAUACCGCAUACGACCUACGGGUGAAAGCAGGGGAUCUUCGGACCUCGCGCGAUUGAACGAGCCGAUGUCGGAUUAGCUAGUUGGCGGGGUAAAGGCCCACCAAGGCGACGAUCCGUAGCUAGUCUGAGAGGAUGAUCGGCCACACUGGAACUGAGACGCGGUACAGACUCCUACGAGAGGCAGCAGUGGGUAAUAUUGGACAAUAGGCGCAAGCCUGAUCCAGCCAUACCGAGCGGGUGAAGAAGGCCUUCGGGUUGUAAAACCCUUUUGUUGGAAAAGACAAGCAGCGGGUUAAUACCCCGCUGGUCUGACAGUACCCGAAGAAUAAGCACCGGCUAACUUCGUG